CACGGGUGCGUAACGCGUAUAGAAUCUGCCUUGUACAGGAGGAUAGCCUUUAGAAAUGAAGAUUAAUACUCCAUAAUGUUGAGAUAUGGCAUCAUAUUUUAAUUAAAGAUUUAUCGGUACAAGAUGACUAUGCGUCCUAUUAGUUAGAUGGUAAGGUAACGGCUUACCAUGGCUACGAUAGGUAGGGGGUCUGAGAGGAUUAUCCCCCACACUGGUACUGAGACACGGACCAGACUCCUACGGGAGGCAGCAGUGAGGAAUAUUGGUCAAUGGAGGCAACUCUGAACCAGCCAUGCCGCGUGUAGGAAGACUGCCCUAUGGGUUGUAAACUACUUUUAUAUGGGAAGAAACCCCUCUACGUGUAGAGGCUUGACGGUACCAUAAGAAUAAGCACCGGCUAACUCCGUGCCAGCAGCCGCGGUAAUACGGAGGGUGCAAGCGUUAUCCGGAAUCAUUGGGUUUAAAGGGUCCGCAGGCGGUCAAUUAAGUCAGAGGUGAAAGCCUGCAGCUCAACUGUAGAACUGCCUUUGAUACUGCUAGUCUUGAAUUAUUGUGAAGUGGUUAGAAUAUGUAGUGUAGCGGUGAAAUGCAUAGAUAUUACAUAGAAUACCGAUUGCGAAGGCAGAUCACUAACAAUAUAUUGACACUGAUGGACGAAAGCGUGGGGAGCGAACGGGAUUAGAUACCCCGGUAGUCCACGCCGUAAACGAUGGUCACUAGCUGUUCGGA
rnacentral:rRNA from 1 species